rnacentral:rRNA from 1 species
AUUGAACGCUGGCGGCAGGCCUAACACAUGCAAGUCGAGCGGAUGAAGGGAGCUUGCUCCUGGAUUCAGCGGCGGACGGGUGAGUAAUGCCUAGGAAUCUGCCUGGUAGUGGGGGAUAACGUCCGGAAACGGGCGCUAAUACCGCAUACGUCCUGAGGGAGAAAGUGGGGGAUCUUCGGACCUCACGCUAUCAGAUGAGCCUAGGUCGGAUUAGCUAGUUGGUGGGGUAAAGGCCUACCAAGGCGACGAUCGGUAACUGGUCUGAGAGGAUGAUCAGUCACACUGGAACUGAGACACGGUCCAGACUCCUACGGGAGGCAGCAGUGGGGAAUAUUGGACAAUGGGCGAAAGCCUGAUCCAGCCAUGCCGCGUGUGUGAAGAAGGUCUUCGGAUUGUAAAGCACUUUAAGUUGGGAGGAAGGGCAGUAAGUUAAUACCUUGCUGUUUUGACGUGACCAACAGAAUAAGCACCGGCUAACUUCGU